UUCUGUUGGGGCGGGCAGUUGCUAUGGUGAGAAUUCAUGGUGUGGUCAAAGCACGUGGGCAACUCAGCUCACCAGCCUGCAUGUACCCAGGGCAUAAACAGAUGAAUUGUGACUGUGGACUCUGAUCCAGCACAAUGGAUGGUGUGGCCCUGGCCUUGGGUCACUUCUUUCAAAUGAAUUGAGCUGUCUUCUGCAAGCAAGAGCAUCUGCUGAGCUCCUGAGCACCUCCUUACAGACAGCACUGGAAAGCACCAGCUGAAAGAAAGGCCGAAAGCUGACCAAGAUUCAGGUAUUAAUAGAGACACGUUAUGGAAGGGUUAUAAGUGUUUUGGUUCAGGAGAUGGAUGCCAGGUCCCCAUCUUCUGAGAGCAGAUUAUCCAAGAUAACACCGAUGUCAGUAGCUUAGUCUGAACCCAAACUGAGUUUCAAGAAGGGAAACUUCUCACUGCAUCUUGGAUAAUUCCCCUAAGAAUUUCCCUUGGGAAUUAGCAUUGUAUUGGCCGUUGGCUAGAACCAAGAUACCCAGAGUGGGUUUUCUUAUCAUCAGUCAGACCAGUUCUGGACAGGAAGCAGGAAGGGAAAAUUCUUUCAAUGAAUUAGACACUAGCUACUUAGGUCACAAGUGGCAUCAUUUACUUCAUACUUUUUUUCCUGGGAAUGAAUGCAUGGCUGGGCAGAUGGUAUCAUCAGGAAGGUUUUGACUUGGGUGAGUAUUCCAAGGAAAAGGACUGGUGAUCAGAGCUAGCUUUCAAUGCACACAGCAGUAGGAGCAUCUCUGGGAUACAAAUUAAUGCAGUUAGGAUCUGCAAGGACUGGUUUCAAAUGCAAACAGGUAAAUACAAGCAUCAAACACUUGGAUAGAGGCAUAUAAACUAGGGGAAAUACCAUUACUCACAGGAUAAUCAUUGGAGGGAUGCUGAAGAGGACAGUGGAUCACCUGAUGAAAUAACACACACCAGAUAAAGAAUGCAGUAGAAGAGAUUAAAAUCUUGAUACAUAAUCAAAAUGAGAAUUGAAUUUGACUGUAACCAAAGAGAAUGAACCACUUAUAACAUGCAAGAGGAAUGCAGCUUGGGUGAGAACGGCCACGAAACAACAGAGUUCACGAGUUGUCAGAAAGGAAGGAAGGAGAACAGCAAAAUAAACACAAUGGACUUCCAGAAAGCAUAUUUCAAAAACCUCAUAGAACUGAUAAUCAUGAGAAACAAGUCUCAGAGAAAAGGGAAUUCAGGAAAGUUGGCAGCAGCUAAAAGAAACAAUGGUGGUAAGGACAUCAAUUCAAACAAUCCCAACAGAGGAGGGAAAGCAACUGUCACAAGAUGAUGUGCCUAAAUCAUCACCACUUCACUGAUCCCUAACACAUGAAACAGUGUCUUCGGAAAAUAGAAACUAGAUUCACAUGCCAAUGAAUGUAAAUGCACAGCCUGAAGGUGUGGGGACCAAAUCAGGAAAGUCAAGAGAGAAAAAGAGAAUCAACCAGCAGGAUCAAUGGGACAUCAAGAAAACUUCAAAUACAUUAGCAGUGACAUGAAGGCUGUGGGAGGAACAAAAGGGGAGGUGGUAGUGAAUGAUGUGAAGACAGUGGAAGUAUUUACCUGCUUCAGCUUUCAGUAAAAUAAUCCCUUAUGACAAAAUGGUUACCACAGUUAGUGCUGAAUGAUAACAGGGAAAGAACUCAGUCUAGAAAGAAGUGAAGAGUAUUUAUUCGGAUUAAAUAUUAUACUCUUGUACUGCCUGUUGAAACAAUCCCGUGAUGGUUAGCAGCUCUCUGAGACCUCAGAGAACCACCACUGUACCAGAAGACCAGAAAAGGGAGUUGCAAACCCUUUUAAAAAGGAAGGAGCUGAAGAAAGAUGCACGAAACAGCUUGGUUUGAAUUGCCAGAGAAAACUGGAAAAUAAAUAUUCUAUAAAUGUCUGAAAAAUAA